rnacentral:tRNA from 1 species
UUCCCGGUGGUCCAGUGGUUAAGACUCUGCACUCCCAAUGCAGGAAACACGGGUUCCAUCCCUGGUUGGGGAA